rnacentral:rRNA from 1 species
GGACCCGCACAAGUAGUGGAGCAUGUGGUUUAAUUCGAAGAUACGCGCAGAACCUUACCAACACUUGACAUGUUCGUCGCGACUCUGAGAGAUUAGAGUUUUCGGUUCGGCCGGACGAAAACACAGGUGCUGCAUGGCUGUCGUCAGCUCGUGCCGUGAGGUGUCAGGUUAAGUCCUAUAACGAGCGCAACCCCUAUCGUUAGUUGCCAGCAAGUAAAGUUGGGUACUCUAGCGAGACUGCCGGUGCAAACCGAGAGGAAGGUGGGGGAUGACGUCAAAUCAUCACGGCCCUUACGUCCUGGGCUACACACGUGCUACAAUGGCCGGUACAGAGAGCAGCCACCACGCGAGUGGGAGCGAA